rnacentral:rRNA from 1 species
GACGAACGCUGGCGGCGUGCUUAACACAUGUAAGUCGAACGGAAAGGCCCUGCUUUUGUGGGGUGCUCGAGUGGCGAACGGGUGAGUAGCACGUGAGUAACCUGCCCUUGACUUUGGGAUAACUUCAGGAAACUGGGGCUAAUACCGGAUAGGAGCUCCUGCUGCAUGGUGGGGGUUGGAAAGUUUCGGCGGUUGGGGAUGGACUCGCGGCUUAUCAGCUUGUUGGUGGGGUAGUGGCUUACCAAGGCUUUGACGGGUAGCCGGCCUGAGAGGGUGACCGGCCACAUUGGGACUGAGAUACGGCCCAGACUCCUACGGGAGGCAGCAGUGGGGAAUAUUGCACAAUGGGCGGAAGCCUGAUGCAGCAACGCCGCGUGCGGGAUGACGGCCUUCGGGUUGUAAACCGCUUUCGCCUGUGACGAAGCGUGAGUGACGGUAAUGGGUAAAGAAGCACCGGCUAACUACGUG